GUAGACGCUAUACUCUAAGAUUAACCCAUGCAUGUUUAUUGAAUAUAAAGAAAAGACGAACAGCUCAGUAACUCUUAUUUGAUUUGAUGUAUUAGGAUUCUAACUAUGUUAAAUUAUAGGUAACAAUAAUACAAUAAGAAUAAGAUCUAUCAGUUAGUUGUUAAGGUAAUGGCUUAACAAGACUAUGACGGAUAACGGUAUUACUUUGUAAUAUUCCGGAGAAGGAGCCUGAGAGAUUGCUACUAAGUCUAAGGAUUGCAGCAGGGGCGAAACUUGACCUAUGAUAUUAUAUUGAGGCAGUUAUGAGUAGUAUUUUAUAAUUAUUGUAGUAUUGUAAGUACAUGUUACAAGAUAAAUCGGAGGGCAAAUCGAGUGCCAGCAGCCGCGGUAAUACUUGUUCCGAUAGUGUGUAUGAUGAUUGAUGCAGUUAAAAAGUGUGUAGUUUAUUUAUAAUAAGCAUUGUAAGGUAUACUGUAUGGUUAGGAGAGAGAUGAAAUGUGAUAACCCUAACUGGAUGAACAGAAGCGAAAGCUGUAUACUUAAAUGUAUUAUUAGAACAAGGACGUAAGCUAGAGGAUCGAAGAUGAUUAGAUACCAUUGUAGUUCUAGCAGUAAACUAUGUUGAAUCAUAGAUAUAUUUUGAUAUAUAUUUAUGUAGAGAAAUUAAGAUUAUAUUGACUCUGGGGAUAGUAUGAUCGCAAGAUUGAAAAUUAAAGAAAUUGACGGAAGAAUACCACAAGGAGUGGAUUGUGCGGCUUAAUUUGACUCAACGCGGGGUAAUUUACCAGGUAUAACAUGAUAUAAUAUUUUAUCAUGAUAGUGGUGCAUGGCCGUUUCCAAUGGAUGCUGUGAAGUAAUGAUUAAUUUCAACAAGAUGUGAGACCCUCAUUUAGACAGAUGUAGUGAUACAUAUGAAGGAGAGGAUUAAAACAGGUCCGUUAUGCCCUAAGAUAAUCUGGGUUGCACGCGCAAUACAAUAAUAUUUGAUAUUAUAAGGGAUAAUAUAAUGUAAGAUAUAUUUGAACAUGGAAUUGCUAGUAAAUUUUAUUUAAUAAGUAGAAUUGAAUGAGUCCCUGUUCUUUGUACACACCGCCCGUCGCUAUCUAAGAUGGUAUUAUCUAUGAACAAAUUUAUAAAGUGAAUAGAUAGUACUAGAUCUGAUAU
rnacentral:rRNA from 1 species